UACGUAGGGUGCGAGCGUUAGGCGGAAUCACUGGGCUUAAAGCGUGUGUAGGCGGAUCUGUAAGUACCUUGUGAAAUCCCACGGCUCAACCGUGGAACUGCUUGGUAUACUGCGGGUCUUGAGCCACCUAGGGGCAAGUGGAACAAACGGUGGAGCGGUGAAAUGCGUAGAUAUCGUUUGGAACGCCAAUGGUGAAAACAACUUGCUGGGGGUGUGCUGACGCUGAGACACGAAAGCCAGGGGAGCAAACGGG
rnacentral:rRNA from 1 species